AAUUAAACUAUCGAAUGACUGUUAAACGAAUGGCGAGUCAAUAAUCUGCUCAUUUGUGCUUCUCAUUACUAUGCUGGUUUGGUUUCGUAAAGUUUGACUUUAAAUAGUUAUUCUUAUGAUGCUUCAUCAAUCUACUUAGAUUAGUUCUCUGCAAGCAUAUGUUGUUAAAAUCUGACCACCUCUAUGAUAAGGCAGUGGUGAAUCUGAAGGUUUCAAGUGUCCUUCCUGCUUUGUGCUCCGUGUCAUUUGUUCGAUUACCCUUCUUCGGGUUGUUUAAAUGUUUGUUCGUAUAAAGACUUGAUGUAUGUUUCAUGUUGUCCUUCCUUCCUAAGUACAUUGAUGCUUAGAAAUUUGGUUACAAGUUUCCAUGUUUUAAAAAAGGUUUUGCCCUUUAACCGAAAGCAAAAUUUAGUUUUUCUCCCAUGAAUUUUGCGUCGGAUAGCUUUUUUGGCAGAAUGACAUGAACUGUUGUGCUUGACUUUUAAAAGAAACCAUCAAUCAGUUGGUAUUUGAAUUGGCUGUGUUGAGAUUGAACUCUAUAUUUUCUACAAGGCAUGUUGGUUACUUUGUUGCAAAUUGGGACCUUUUUUUUCAUCCAACUUAAAGAUUUGUUUUUGCUCUAUGUACCUGUUGACAUUUCUUGUGAGGCCUUGCAUUUGGAAAAGGAUGUGAUAUAUCAUACUAAGCAUAUCCUGAACAUAAGUUGUCACGAAUAGUUUUAGUUUCGAUCAACCUUUGGCUUAAUUGGUCUCGCUUUUACAACAAAGUUUGACUUCAUGGGUAGUGAUUUCAUUUGGUGUGUUAAGAGUUGCUUCUAUAAAUCCUUUUACACCAAGAAAAAUUGGUCUUCAAACUGAUGACUCUUGGAACGCUAAGAAGCUAUUUCAAUGCACAAAGUUCCUAACUUGUUUUAGGUGUCACUUAAUAUACUAUCGUGGUUGUGCACACGUUCGCGUGACGUGAUUGCGAUUUCUAAAAACAAAAUCGGAGUAUGCGUUCGCGCAACAUCGCCAAAUGUUCUUAAUAAUAAUUAAGCAUUAUUAAUUGUGAACACGUUCGCGUGACAUGAUUUUUGACGCACCAAACAAGCGGGUAUACGUACGCGUAACCCGUUUCACGAUAAUUUCUAAAUUAAAAACGGUAAAAGAAGUAAAAGCAAAUGGGUUUAUAAGUUAGUAAUUAAAUAAUAUAACAAGCCAAAUAGGAUCAAAGCAACUGUGUUAGAACUGCGUAAUUCGUGAGUGCCUAACACCUUCUCCCGGGUUAACAGAAUUCCUUACUCGGAUUUCUAAUUCGCAGACUAUAAUAACAAAGUCAUUCUUUCCUCGAUUCGAGAUUUUAAACCGGUGACUUGGGACACCAUAAAUUAUUCCAAGUGGCGACUUUGAUUUUUGAUAAUUAAUCCUGUUUCGAUUGUCACUUAAAUUGAAAAACUCCCUUUAUUACGCCCUUUUCGGGGUGUAGUAAUGAAAAAAUGAGGUGCGACAGCUCUAGCAAUUCAGCUGGGGAACGAACCCAGAAUCUCUGAUUUAGGGUUAUUGAAUUCGAGCUUGUUUUAUUAUUUUUACUUGGCUUAAUUGUUGAUAUUAUUGUAUUUUGUGAGCCUUUGUGCUAAAAUGCUAUCUAUUUACCGCUUGAAUAUUGGUGAAUUCUAUAUAAUUAUCUCCUUACGCCACCCCUCUGAGUCUUCUAGAAAUGGUACAUACGUUCGCAUAACCCGCUUUUUCUGUAGAAACUAUACCAAAUAGAGCGAGGCUGUACAAGCGACAAGGUCGGGUAGACUUCGGCGCUCCGGUAUGUCGCCCCCUCCUCGGACCCAGUUGUCCGCUGGGGUACCCCAUGUCUAGAUCAAAACCCCAGGAUUUAAUUUAGGAUAACAAGACCGCAUGCUGGAUCCCUAGUAGGAACGCAUAUUUGAAUCAUUUACAUUUGACUUAGGGGACUCAACACACGGGUUGGGUCCAUCUAGGACAGGUGUAUCCCAAAAAUAAAAGACCAUCCUGAUGCAUCCUAAUAUACUACAUGUUGCAUUUAUUCAAGAGUGAAAGGGUCAUUUGGCGGACCAAUGAUAGCUGAGGGCAAAUGAAAAAAAAAUAAAAAAAAUGAAAAAAAAUAAAUGAAAAGAAAAAAAGAGAGGGUGAAGUGCGGAAAUAAAGCAAGUUGGGUCUAGUUAUAGUUUUGUUAUAUUUUUAUUUUUAAAAAACAAAAGAUAUAUGAAAAAUUCAACAACAAAAAAGAUUUUGCACUUUUUCAUCAUUUUCUGAAAAUAAAAAAAAUAAAAUAUUUACAUGUUUUAUCAUUUUUCAAAAAAAAAAAAAAAAGAGAAAAAAGAAAAUAUUUUCUCCAAAAAAUAGUUGUUUUUUUAUUCUUGCCCGUAUCCAAUUUGCCCGAACUACGCAAACCUGAUUCUCGUCUUUUGGGGCGUGAUACGUAGGAAACCCACAUAGGGCCCGAUAUUCCCAGUAAAUCUUAGGUUCUUGGCUUUGUAGGGUCUCAGCCAAAAUUUGUACUUCUAGCCAGCUUUUGGCUAAAUAAGUCAUUUUGCAAAAAUAAUCACAGCCAUGUCUUGUAUGUGUCUAAUAGGAAAUGUUAUUAUCUCACAUAGUGUUGGUUUAUGUUUUCUUAUACAGGUGCGGAUUUACCUACCAGAGUUUGAGCAUAACAGAUACCCCAGGAUCGCUGCAUUCAAGAGUUGCUCGAGGAGCCAUUUUGAGUUUUUGAAUCAAUUUUUCAUGUUUUAUUUUUGGUCCUAUAUAGUAUUAUCCAGUCUUUUAGGUGAUGUUAGAGUUUGUAAUAGUCUAGUUAAGUUUACUGAAUCUUGUGUUAUUGUAUUUUUUUAUUUUGUAUUUGGAAAUGUGUUACAAGUCAAAAUCAAAAAAAAAAAAAAGCAAAGGAGAAAAAAAAAGAAUUUUGUGUUUUAUAUUUCCGUUAGAGUCUUUAAAAUAUUAAUUCUAGGAAUUAAAAAAAUUAUUUGAGGGGAUUUUUCCUUUGGCAAUGAAUUCAAGAAUUUUAAAAUUAAAAUUGCUUUUAUAUUUCCUAUAAGUACAUUAAGGCAAAAAAAAAAUCAAAAAAAAAGAAGAGAAUGUUCUUUUAAUUCUUCUUUAAGAGUUUUCUUUUAAGAUAUUAGUUUCAAAAAUCCAAAAAGACUUUAUUUUUGAGUUUCUUCUUGUUAAAAUUAGUGGAAAAAAAAUUAUUAUUUCACUAAAAAUUUGGGAUAUUGCACAUAUAAAAUAAAAGACAACAUACUCUAUCUUUGGCUUAUUUUUCAGAGUUUCUCUUUUAGGCAAUUAAAAUCAAAAUCCAAAAAUAUUUUUUAUUGCUUGUUUCGAAAUCGUGCGUCAGGAUAUCAAAUGAUAAUUCAAAACAUUUUUUUUGUGGUCUAUUCUUUAGAUUUUCUUCCUAAAAACAUGAAUCGAAAGAUGUCCUUCUCUUGUAGAGUCUUUUCCUUAAUAAGUUACCGUAGAGUGUUUGUUUCAAAAAGAGAAUAUCCGUUAAGCUUGAGUUUAGAAUAGGUUAUAGAACAUUAAGUCUAGAAUUUUUAAAAAAAAAAAGGAUUUGCUCCUUUAUUUCUCUUUUCUCAUAAGCAUAGUCAUUAAGGUAAAAAAGAAAAGAAAAAAAAGAAAAACAAAAAAAGGAGAACGUUAAUUUGUUUACUUUAUUCUCGAUCUUCCCGAACUAUGCAAAGAUCAGAUUCAUGCGGUAUCAUGAUGCGUACGCAACCUAUAUAGGGUUCGAUCGAAUUAUUUUUUUAUUUUAUUAAAAGAAAAAGGAAAAAAAGAAGAAGAGAAAAAAAGGUUGAAGUCAUGACAUGUAAGAAAUGAGAGGAAAGAAAAGAGUGAUAAUUAAUCUUAUUCCCGACCUUCCAGAACUAUGAAAAGAUCUGAUUCAUGCGGGGUCAUGAUAUGUAGGCAACCUACAUAGGGUUCGAUCGAAUCAUUUUUGUUUUAUUAAAAAAAGAAGAAAAAAGAGAAAAGAAAGAGAAAAGAAGAAAAAGAAGGGCGUAAUUAUAGGACGUGAAAAUUAGAGGAAAGAAAGAGUGAUAAAUAGAAAAAGAGGAAGAAAAAUGAACAAGCAAGUGCCAAAAAAGCAAAGAAAAGGAGAGGUUGAAAUGAAGAAAUUGGGAUGAUUCCAUAUGACCUUCAUACCCUCGAAGUUAUGUUAGAACCGGUAACUGUGACUAGGUGCAUUGAACGCAAUGUGAUAUUUUAGCUGUUUAAUGUCCUAACACUAACAUGAUGGCUUCAUUUUGUUAUACUUAUAACAGAAGGGUGGUUGGUUUGUGGUUUUUAAAGUAGUAACUCUCCUCAACAACACAAAGUCAAAGGCAAUGGCGGACAACAAAACUAGUUUGGUUGUUACCGGGGCCCGAAAGCAGUUGGUUGACCUGGACAAUGGGUUAAUUGAAAAGGUAAAAAUGUUGAGACAACACAUGGCAGAAAUGUAUCAGGAUUAGAUGACUGGGAAAGCACUACCCCUGCCACCACCUAGCUUCCAAGAUGCUACCCUUCUCCAAACUCCGAUCAUUGUUCCGAAUGAUCCUCCAUACUCUCCAGACACACCUGCUUAUUACAGUUUUUCCAACCACCCUAGUAGCUCAAGCACUCAUCCUCCAACUAUCUUUUACCAAAAGCACCCUCCUGCCACAUCAAUUCUCCCCAACAUUGAAUACCUACUCAAGCUCAUGAUAUCCAAUACUGUCUCUCAGAGGUUGCCCACAAGGUUUCCAACUCACACAAGCAGGGCUUGCGGGACGAGCCUCAUGUAGGAAGUGAAAGGUUCACAUGCAGAUAAAGGCAUGAUGGAAUACCUCGGAGGCUGGCAGGCAUAAGACAGUCCUUGAAGAACAAGCAAGGAAUGCGAGACCAGGGUAAUAUUGCUUGCGGAGAACUAUUUGUAUCCCCUGAAAUUCGCCUACCCGCAGGGUUCAAAGUGCCAAAAUUUCUAUUGUACGAUGGGUGUGGAGAUCUGGUAGCCCACCUGGGGGUUUAUUGCAGUGAAAUGAGAGGGUUUGGAGAGAAAGAUGACCUGUUGAUAGCAUAUUUCAACAAGAGCCUGACUGGGGCAGCUUUGGACUGGUAUACUUGUCAAGAUAUCAAUAAAUUGCCUACAUUGGGUGAGAUGGCUCAAAAAUUUGUUCGAUACUUUCAAUACAAAGAAAGCAUUACCACAGAUCGCUCUUCCCUAUCUAAAAUAAAAAAGAAGCCGGGGGAAAGCUUUAGGGAGUUUGGGCUCAGAUGGAGGGUGCAAGCUGCUUGAGUAUGUACCCCGAUUGGUAAACAAGAAAUGGUUGGGCUUUUCCUACAAGCCCAGGAGCCCACCUACUUUAGUCCUUUGGUCCCGACUUUGGGAAAACCAUUCCAUGAUGUGUUAAAAAUGGGAGAGCUAGUAGAAGAGGGAAUCAAGUCAGGCAAAAUCAUGAGUUGUUCGAAAGACAUUCAGAACAUCCAAGUAAGCUUCGACGGGAGAAAGAGAAAUAGAAAAAAUUAUCAACAUUUCUAGCCUCGACAUCGUCCUCUUGUAUAUUCUUGUGUACCAGAUAAAUGCUACUUCUCUCCACAGAACUCCCAAAAUAGUACAUCACUUUUCCCGUACCCAGCUCCACAGAAUGCCCAUCCACCCCCACGAGCAUAUCGAAAACCUUCUGGAUCAGGUUUCCGGCCCAAGCAAGCGUUUAAGAAUGAGAGGCUACUGAAAAGAGAAAAUGCUUUCACCCCUAUUGGAGUAUCAUAUGCCAGUUUGUUCCAAAGGUUGAAGCAAUUGGACAUGUUGAAGCCGAUGCAGAUAAAAAUGCCAAACCCUCUAUCAAAGAAAUUUGAUAUUUCUCAGAGGUGCGCAUGUUGCUCAGAUGCCCUGGGGCAUAACACAGAGAAGUGUUGGAGUCUAAAGAAAGCAAUUCACAAGCUUAUUGAUGCAUGUGGCAUUGUCGUGCGAACGCCGGAUGCAGCAGACACUAGCCAAAGUCCAUCGCCCAUGCAUAAUGAGAUGCACAUGUUGGAAUGUGAGAAUUCUUUUGGGAGCCUCGGAGGCACGAAUGCUGCAAGCUUUAAGAACUAUCAGAGGUUGAUCUUUAGAACAAGCCGAUGAAAGGAACCCAAAAGCAAUCUGUUAUGAACAAUGUGAUGAAGGCUUGUGAAGUGCCUAGUGUUAUUGAUGUGUAACCUAGUGGCUAAUAUGCCGUGAUGGGUAAUUGGGAAGAUGCUCUAUUUCUUGGUCAGCCAGAGAGGAGUUUUGGUGGUUUAUUUUGUUGUCAUUUCUGUUGUCCGGGUUAAGGUUGUAGUCCGAAUAUUGUCUUGUGAUUCAAACCCUUCUAUCUUUUUAUUUUCUUAGUUUGUUUAGUAUCGUCUAGGUUCAUUCCAGUGUUUUAACCCCAGUCUUUUUACUUGUUUUUUGUCUAAUUUCUUUCACUAUCUGUCUAAUGCAAAUUUUCUACUUUCCAUUAUUUCUAGUCAUUUGGUUUAGUUUUCUUUUCUUUUUACAAUCCUUUCCCCUGUUGGCUUUAAUGACAUGACAUGCAUGUAUAAACCUAGGCCUGGUCUAAAAGAUUACUCAUAAGGAAAUAGAGACACUUGCAAGAAAUCAGAAUAGAUUUGGACCCUUUGAGAUCUUUUGAAGUCAUAACCACGGGCAGAUAGAACAUGAAGAAAUUCUAAAAGCAAGUUUACCAAAGUGGCAGGGACCAUUUGUUGUAGCUGCAGUGUCGUCCAAUGGCGCGUUAUAUUUGACAUAUGAGAAAGGAAUAUGUGUAGAAAUGGCUAUCAAUUCUGACGCAGUCAUGAGAUACUAUGUUUGAUUUCUUUGACUGAUUCUACUUGCUUGUCUGACAUAUUUUGAAAAUUGGAAUGACGAAGGCAUGAUGUUUUGCUAUAUAAACACUUUAUCCUUUGCUAAUCCUUUUGUGCUUUAAUUAUUUUCUUUCAUACCCCUCUUUCGGAAUCGGUAACAAAAGCUAGAAAUGCAAGUGUGAGAAGGCAGUGAAAGGAAAAGAACGGAAAGAAUGAAAAAAAAAAAGAAAAAAAAAAGGAAAAACAAGAAAGAAAAGAGAAAAGAGAAAAGAGAAAAGAGGAAAGGAAAAAGAAAAGAGAAAACAAAACAAAGAAAAGAAAAGAAGAAAAAACAGAAAGGAAAAAAAGGAGAAGAAAAACAACAAUAAAAACAGGUAAUCAAUAUGAACUACGUUUGACCUGAUUCCUUUUAAGGAUACGUAGGCGGCCUCACGGUUUGGUGUCAUCAAACUAAAAAUUCAAACGUCCCCAACCAAGAAACUAGGGUAGAAAUGGUGGUUGUUGUAAGAAAUCUGAUUCCAAAAGUUUUAGUUUUAAACCCAUUUGAAUUGUUUUGAGCCUUUGAUACCCUUUCUUUCUAACCAUAUCCAAAAGACCGCGUUACGGUCCAAAGAAAGACCUUCUGAUCAGUCUUCAAGAGAUUCCAAGUUGAUCAACUAGAGGUGAUUCAUGUCAGGGGCAACACUCCAGUCCAAGCAGGAAAGAUAAUAAAAAUGUGAGUCUUACUGGUGAAAACCCUCACGGGCAUCAUAAGGCGACGGGAGCUAAGAGAAAUAAAAAAAUAAAAAAAUGAGAGAGUCUUAUUAAUGAAAACCCUCACGGGCACCUUGAGGCGACUGUAAGUUGAGAGAGAGAAAGAAAAUGAGAGAGGUUUGAUGGUGAAAACCCUUUAGGUGCAAUAAGUCGAAUAAGGAUUAUGAAUCAGGUUGGAUAAUCGGAGCAAUGUAGCCCAGCAUCACGGUCUGGGGGAGUUUAACAAGAGUUGAAUAUUAGAUUAGCUUAAUAAAAUAGGCCGCUUGUGCAUGUCAUGGUCAUUUGAAUUGGUACCCACAUUUCGUAGGUUUCUACUUUUAGCUUUUUAGGAAUCAUCUCCCUUCCUUGUCCUCUACUCUAUUCCUUUUGUCUUGUUUAUUCCCUCCUUUUGAGUCUGUUGGGUCAAAACAAGUGAGAAAUGACUUCAAAAUAUGCCACCAGCUUUCCAAUUGCACAAAACAGGGUCUCGUUAUCACAUCCACGCGUCAUAAGUCAGGAAAAUAGCAAGCAUCGUGAGCGGGUAACAUUCAACAUGCUUCAAGAUUAGUUUGAAAUUCAAAGGCUUGGUAUAUAGCAAUUCAUGGACAAUGCAACAGAAUGAGGGCUAGGGUGAACGGAUCAAAAUUGCUCUAAGAAGAAAUCGAAGUUAUCAUGGCUAGCGAUGGAUCAGUACACCUCAAGGCCAGAGCCAGUGAUUUGGAUCAAGAAAGAACAUCAUUCGCAAUGUGGUUGGUGACAAUUAAUAGGUUUUGGGGAUCAGGUGGAAUGCAAAGGUUUGGCAGAUGUGGGUUUAGGAGCAAUGCAAUAGACGGAAGGUAUUGGGUUCGAAUGAGAAGAGGAAUUUUCUGGGUUAAGGUUUACAAAGUAAGUGGUUAGCCAAGGUGCAAGACGGGUCUUCAAAUGAAAAUCAAUCAUCAUGACAAGUGAAGGAGAAACAGACCUCAAGGUCAAGGUCGGUGGUUUAAGUCAAUAAAAACAGCAUACACAGGAAGUGGGGGGUGAUGGACGUGCUUUGGGGGGUCAUUUGAAAUGCAAAGGAUGGGAAGAAGUCAGUUCAUAGGCAAUGCAACGAAUAGAAAAGAUGGGAUCUGAAUGGAGUUUAAGUCAGUAAGAACAACAUACACACAGAGUGGGGGUAAUGGACGUGCUUUAGGAUUUAUGUGGGACACAAAGGUUGGGAAGAUGUAAGUUUAUCAGCAAUACAACAAAUAGAGGAUAUUGGGUCUGAAUGGAGGAGAGGUAUUUUCUGUGAUAAGGGUGACAGAGAAGUUGAUCAGCCAAUAAGCAAGCCAUGUCUUUCAAGGUGAAAUCAAAGCUGCCAUGGCAAGUGAAAAGGCACAACACAAAGAUGGGAAGGCCACAAGGUUUCAGGGGGUCAGCCAAGCAUAAUACAUUGACUUGGUAAUCUCGGGAAAGGUGAAAGGAUUCUGGAAAAAGGGAUAGAAAUGUAACACAACAAUGGGGAGCAAAGUAAAGCCAUAAAGGUUUGGGGGUCAGCCAACAAACUCAGGCAACUCAUCAUCAACAUGGAAAUUUGAACACAACGGAACAUGACAGUGGGGAGGCUACUUCCAACAAGAAUGCCGCAAGCUAACCACCAUUUUUGAAACUGACAAGUGUUCUUUGAUUGACAUAUGGGAAGAAAAAUUCCAGAAGAGCCUAAGGGGGGCCAUCCACAGAGGAAAGCAGGCACAUGACAGGUAUAACACAAAUCUCAGGGCACAUAGUCUAUCAUAAAUGUUAUCUCAAGCAAGAGUAUAUUGGGACAAACUUUAAUUAGGAAACCCCAACAGAAACAAUUGAGGGUUAAAAGGGGCGUGAAAGUUGAAACGGGACUCACUUUAAAAACCCAAAUAGGCAUGGGCACCAUAGACAGCCACAAACACCUUCCCCAGUAAGAGUCACUAAAACCCUCCUGAACAAUGAUUACCGGCAGAAACAAAAAGAGGUUAGAAUUGGCAUUUAAUCUGGAACCCUCAGGACCCUCCUGGAAAAUGGGACUUAUUCGAAGGUUAGAGGCAAUUAUGGAUAGCAAAGAGCAGAAUGAAUUGCAUGUUGAAGUAUGAUUCAGUUAAGAAUUGUUAGGAUCUUCUUGAAAAAUAGGACUUAGCCUAAUACACAAACAGGCAGGUAGCAUGGGUGGGUACAAACAUGUCCCAAACAAGAGUCGUCAAGACCAAUUUAAGUAACGGGAUAUAGCCUUAAAUACUAAUCCUCAGCAGACGCAUUUGUCAUCUAGUUAAACGUUUUCAGGAACCGCCUGGAUAAUAGGAAGUAGUUUUAAUCACUAGUCCUCAGCAGAUCCCCAGCAUAUAUAACUCAUAACAAGACAUAGUGGAAAAUAAUACCUUUUGAGAAGCAUAACAUAAUCUUAAAGUUGUCAUCAGUUAAGAACUGUCAGGACCCUCGUGGAUAAUAUGACUUAGCUUAGAUUUAGAGAUAUUUGGUAAGGGAAUUUAAUUAACACUCACAGAUCCGCCCGGCACCAAACUGGGGUAGAAAGAAUUUCUUCUGUUUUGUUUGUUUUGUUGUGAUGAGGUACAUAGGCAACAGUCUAAGCGAAUAAUUUUUAAGAUUCAAGUUUUGGUAAUCAGGCGCGCACCUGAAGAACAAGGGAAUAUUUUUCAAGUUUCAAGUUUUGAUAAUCAGGCGUCCCCCUGUUAGAACAAGGGAAUAUUUUUCAAGAUUCAAGUUUUGGUAAUCAGGCGUCCACCUGUUAGAAGAAAUGAAUAUUUUCAGAAUUCAAGUUUUGGUAAUCAGGCAUCCACCUGUCAGAAUAAGGGAAUAUUUUUCAAAGAUUCAAGUUUCAGAAAUCAGGCGCCCACUUACAUAACAAGGGAAUAUUUUACAAGAUUCAAGUUUUGUAAUUAAGCGCCCACCUAUAGAACAAGGGAAUAUAUUUCAAAUUCAUAUUUUGGUAAUUAGGCGCCCACAUGACAAAAAAAGGGAAUAUUUUUCAAGAUUCAAGUUUUGGUAAUCAGGCGUCCACCUAUAGAAUAGGGGAAUAUUUUUCAAAAUUCAAGUUAUGGUGAUCAGGCGCCCACCUGUCAGAACUAGGGAAUAUUUUUCAAGAUUCACGUUUUGGUAAUCAGGCGCCCACCUCUAGAACAAGGGAAUAUUUUUCAAAAUUCAAAUUUUGGUGAUUAGCCGCCCACAUGUCAGAACAAGGGAAUAUUUUUCAAAGAUUCAAGUUUCGGUAAUCAGGCGCUCACCUGACAGAACAAGGGAAUAUUUUUCAAGAUUCAAGUUUUGAUAAUCAGGCGCGCACCUGUAAAACAAGGGAAUAUUUUUCAAAAUUCAAGUUUUUUUAAUCAGGCGGACACAUGUCAGAAAAAGGGAAUAUUUUUCAAAGAUUCAAGUUUCGGUAAUCGGGCGCCCACCUGUAGAACAAGGGAAUAUUUUUCAAAAUUCAAGUUUUGGUGAUCAGGCUCCCACCUAUCAUAACAAGGGAAUAUUUUUCAAAGAUUCAAGUUUCGGUAAUUAGGCGCCCACCUGACAAGAACAAGGGAAUAUUUUUCAAGAUUCAAGUUAUGGUAAUCAGGCACGCAACUGUAGAACAAGGGAAUAUUUUUAAAAAUUAAAGUUUUGGUGAUCAGGCGUCCACCUGUCAAAACAAGGGAAUAUUUUUCAAAGAUUCAAGUUUCGGUAAUCAGGCGCCCACCUGACAGAACAAGGGAAUAUUUUUCUAGAUUCAAGUUUUGCUAAUCAGGCACCCACCUGUAGAACAAGGGAAUAUUUUUCAAAUUUCAAGUUUUGGUAAUCAAGCGCCCACUUGUCAGAACAAGGGAAUUUUUUUCAAAGACUCAAGUUUCGGUAAUCAGGCGCCCACCUGUAGAACAAGGGAAUAUUUUUCAAAAUUCAAGUUUUGGUGAUCAGGCGCCCACCUGACAAGAACAAGGGAAUAUUUUUCAAAAUUCAAGUUUUGCUAAUAAGGCGCCCGCCUGUAGAACAAUGGAAUACAUCUCAAGUCCACCAAUUUGGCAUCAAACAUAGAAGAAGAGAAAACAAGAAGUCAACAAGGCAACAAGGAGUUUACAGGAAGAAAUACCAGUCAACAAGAAGUUCUACAGGAAGAAAUACCAGUCAAUAAGGCAACAAGAAGUCCACAGCAAGAAAUACAAGACAACAAAGCAACAAGGAUUUAGAGCAAGUCAAAAGAUAUAGAUAGGUUCUUUUGUAACUCGUAGUUCAUAGCUUAGUCUAGCUUAUCUUUAUUUUCAAAAGGUGCAAUAAGGAGGUCUAGCAGUAGUAGUAGCAGCAGCAGCAACAGUGAGAUCACAGCUUCGGUAGUCCCAGCUAACAAACAAUCUCGAACUACACUAACUUGGUUCUUUUUUAGCCAAGGGUAUGUAGGCAACCUCGGAAGCAGGGUGCGGUCAAAAUUUUCAAAAUGCUUCACACGGAGUAUUCAGACGAGCAAAAAUAGCUCGCAUUUGCUCACUUAUCUUUGCACAAAAACUUUUCAUGUUUCCUCGCAAAGCCAGGCAGCUGUGAGCACGUGAUUUUCGCCCUAUAUGAAUUACUCCCAUAAAUUCAAGCAAAAGUAAUUUUUAUUGUUUGGAAUUUUGCGGAUUUUUAUGACAUUUUAUGUUAGUUGUUCACAUUUCGUCCAUGUAUUUUAAUUCGUACAAAAUACAAAAAUAUGCAUUUCAUUUAGGGAUUAAGUUUACUUAUUUUUUAAAUUAAUUAGCAAUUAGGAGUUUACAAAAAUACAAAAUCACAAAUAUAGUUUAUUUUACACUUUAGUCUUAAGUUUUGAUUUCGCGUAGUUGGUCUUUUAAUUUGGUUUAGUUAAUAUUGGUAAUUAUGAGUUAACCAAUUCGAUUUUUAGGUUAAUUUGUGUUAUUUUCUUAUUUUUAAUUCUGAAAAUUAAAAAAAACGAGAGGGGAAAGGAGCAAAGCAUAACAAAAGAGUUUCAAGCCAUGUUUGGGCCUAAUCAAUUUAAAGUCCACCAGCCCAAACAAUUUUCUUUCCCCUGAAAUAUGGACCAACUCAGACCCACUCCCGCUCCAACCCUCCUGGGCAACCCGACCCAACCCGUUCCCCAAAAUAACACAUAAUUAAAAGAAAAAGGGUUUAAUCUCUGAAAUCCCAAAGAACACCCAUGCAACUUUGCUUCUUCUUCUACAAAAGCAACCGAAUCCAGCCCUAAUACUGUCCAAAUUCGAACGAUGGAACUCCAAAUCUCUCCUUAUGUGUUCUCCUUUCUCUCCUUUUAUCACAGAUAAUCGUUUCUGACGCUAAAAUUCCCUUCACUAGCUCGAUUUGGAGAUAAGGCACACGAUUGGAAUCUUCUCGGAAUGAUUUGUUGGAUGAGUGUGAGAUGUUGGAUUGAUUUUACUAAAUCCAAGCCCCAAAUUCAUCAGGAAUUCGUUUUCAAAAAGGUAAAUUUAGAUGGAUUUUAGGGAGGGCGAAAAUAACAGAGAAUUUUGAGGGAUUUUCAGGCAGAUUUUAUUUGAGAGAAAAAUUAGGGUUCUAAAAAUAUUUUCUUCUCCUCUAUUAUUGGUCUUCGUUUUUUAAAUUUAAUUCCAGACAUAACAAAAAAAAACUACAAAUAUUGUCUUUCUUUUAGUUUGAUAUUGGAUCUCUUUUUUCUUCAUUUUUAAAUUUGAAAGAUCACCUUUAUUAUGGAGUUUGAUUGAGUUCGAGAGUCGAGGUCAUUCGAACCAUUGAUUGCUGGUUGAUCGAGGUUUUGUUCAGGGUUGCUGGUUUUGUAUUUCUCAGCUGUAGUCACUGCUAAUUUCUAGGUCGGUUUGUUUGUAUUGAAUUCCAAACGAAACUAAUCAAAGCUUCGCGUAAUUAGGUUCCAUCUCUUUCUCUUUUCUUAUGUCUGUUUGGAUGUUGAUCGAAAAUACAAUAAAAGCCAGGGGAAUCCAUUUAUAGAAGUAAUUUUUUGAUUAAUUCCAUUAGAGGUUGAAUUUGGGGUUAGAUUUUAUUUUCAGUUCACGUUUUGAAAUGCUAUUUGACAUGUCAUUUGUUGUUUGAAUCAUACACUCACUGUUCUAUUCUGCUAUGCCUUAUGAUUGUCAAAUGAAUCUGAAUCAGUAAUGUAUAUUCCCAUGGUUCUUCACUUGGUUAUCUGAUUCUCUAGUACAUGUGAUAUUUGAUGCUAGAAUAUUUAGACCGUAGUUAAAUUGUUAGGGUCGUAUGCCUGCUCAUCGUGCCUAAAUCAUUCUGUUCUCUUCUUCUGAACGAGGAUAGCCAUUUGUGCUAGGAUCCUGCUGUUAUCAAAAGUUUAAUCACAUGACCCCAGGAAGGUUGGCUGUUAUUUUGAGAUCACCCUUAGUGUUUCCUUUUUGCUCCGAUAUGUUUGUUGGGAGUCGAAUUAGUGUCUUCAUUUAUGAGAUUUUAGACCAUUCG
rnacentral:lncRNA from 1 species